rnacentral:rRNA from 1 species
CCUUGACAUACUAAGAACUUUCCAGAGAUGGAUUGGUGCCUUCGGGAACUUUAGAUACAGGUGCUGCAUGGCUGUCGUCAGCUCGUGUCGUGAGAUGUUGGGUUAAGUCCCGNAACGAGCGCAACCCUUUUCCUUAUUUGCCAGCGGGUCAUGCCGGGAACUUUAAGGAUACUGCCAGUGACAAACUGGAGGAAGGCGGGGACGACGUCAAGUCAUCAUGGCCCUUACGGCCAGGGCUACACACGUGCUACAAUGGUCGGUACAAAGGGUUGCUACCUCGCGAGAGGAUGCUAAUCUCAAAAAGCCGAUCGUAGUCCGGAUCGCAGUCUGCAACUCGACUGCGUGAGGUCGGAAUCGCUAGUAAUCGCGGAUCAGAAUGCCGCGGUGAAUACGUUCCCGGGCCUUGUACACACCGCCCGUCACACCAUGGGAGUUUGUUGCACCAGAAGUAGGUAGUCUAACCGCAAGGAGGACGCUUACCACGGUGUGGCCGAUGACUGGGGUGAAGUCGUAACAAGGUAGGCGUAGAUGA